AUUCUGACCACUGUCCUUCACACACACGGUCAGUCCCGACAGCUCUGCACGCCAGGGUCCGAGAAGAGCAGCCUGUCAGUGUGGGGGGGUCUGGAGGAGCAAGCGGGGUCCCAGACCACGAGAACCCGCCGGUUAGUCGAUCGGAUCCGAUCGGUGAAGCCGACAGAUCGGCGGCUCGUGUGCGGGCGAGCCGGAGGAGUGAGGAUCAGUGUGAACGAAAGAGGGCUUCUUUUCUUACCUGCACUGAGUUAACAAAGAGCUGCUGUAGAGGGGAGAGGAGACAGGAGCAGGAAGACAGGAGAGAAGCUCCCACUCUCUUCUUCUGCCCGGAUCUCCGUCCCGCGGGCCUUUCGGGAGCAGCUGAGGGAAGGGAUGCAGCAGGAGCACAGCUGUCCUGGUGAACACAUUCAGGCACGGGCUGCGGCUGAUCUUCGUCGCCGCCGGGUCACGAGGGGAGUCUGCACUCCGUCAGCUGCAGUGCUGUCACUGCCGUUUCUCAUGCUUUCACCAUGAUCCAGCACAGUCUGUGAACCCCUGUGAACUCCACUUAUUACAGUCUUGAACCAGAUUGGCUGAGACGUUUCAGGUCUGUUAAACACACCUCACUUGUUAAAGACUCAGAAGAAAGACAGCCAGCUGGUCCAGUAACUAAUGAGGAGCACGCACUGGCCAGAGGAAGAGAUCCCGGAGAGAUUCCUACUGACCAGAGCGAGAUCCAGGAGAGAUUCCUGCUGACCAGAGAGAAAGAGAUCCAGGAGAGA